CAGCACGAGGGGAGAGGGAGCUUGCUCCUGGAUUCAGCGGCGGACGGGUGAGUAAUGCCUAGGAAUCUGCCUGGUAGUGGGGGAUAACGUCCGGAAACGGGCGCUAAUACCGCAUACGUCCUGAGGGAGAAAGUGGGGGAUCUUCGGACCUCACGCUAUCAGAUGAGCCUAGGUCGGAUUAGCUAGUUGGUGGGGUAAAGGCCUACCAAGGCGACGAUCCGUAACUGGUCUGAGAGGAUGAUCAGUCACACUGGAACUGAGACACGGUCCAGACUCCUACGGGAG
rnacentral:rRNA from 1 species